CGUCGAUAUUGAGGAGUAGAUGAAAGCACCUCGAUAUUUAGGAGUAGAUGAAAGCACCUUGAUAUUGAUGAGUAGAUGAAAGCACGUCAAUAUUGAGCUUACUCCCGACGCAGCGAAAUCACGGUCGAUUCUGUAUUUGAAGGAGUUGAUGGUACAAGGAACUCUCGGUUGACGCGUUUUUGAAAUACCGCGUGGUCCAAAAUCCAAAUAAAUGUUUAAUUUACGCGUUUUUUUCCACUUAAACGCGAUAUUUUCUGGAGUGUCCCCCAGAUGUCUCACGCAACUGGACUCACACGGCUACACAGUUCUUCCCACGCGCCACUCGAACAACAAUACAGUACCCACGCUGCCACGCUCCUCAACAACACCCUCGCUGAUGUGCUACCACGAGGGGAAGGGCAGCCAGAGGAGGAACCACGAGAGGGAGAGGAGUCAGAGUGAUACGGUAGGCAAUAGAGGUACAAAUUGACCUCUUGUUGGAUUUACGCUGUUUUGGAUUUAUGCAACAUUCAACUGUACCCAGACAACAGUACCCGGGCAGCACGGUUCUGAAUGUUCACUGUGCCAUCUUUUACAAUAUACUUUGAGAUGGUUUUGAAUGACCCAGGAUAGCACAAUACGGUUGACCCUCAAAUAGUAUAGUUUUGGUUUUAUACGGAUUGUUGUAGAAGAUGUUUUUAGGAGUUUUAAAUUUCCUGGUUAUCGGGAAAUUUUAAAAUCCUAAAACAAUAUACGAAAAACAAACUGGAACUGUACUAUUUAAGGGGUGACUGUAGAAGGAUAUAUUUUUCCACUUACUGAUGAAAACAUGGAACAGUUGGAAAGUUUGGUUCAAUCGGCGCAACAUCUGUGGUCAUGCGCCGGAGAGAGACAGAAGGGGAAGGAAUUAUAGGAGAAGGGAACAGUUGGAAAGUUUGGUUUAGUGGGCGCAACAUCUGUGGUCAUAUGCCGGAGAGAGACAGAAGGGGAAGGAAUUAUAGGAGAAGGGAACAGUUGGAAAGUUUGGUUCAGUCGGCGCAACAUCUGUGGUCAUACGCCGGAGAGAGACAGAAGGGGAAGGAAGUAUAGGAGAAGGGAACAGUUGGAAAGUUUGGUUCAGUCGGCGCAACAUCUGUGGUCAUAUGCCGGAGAGAGACAGAAGGGGAAGGAAUUAUAGGAGAAGGGAACAGUUGGAAAGUUUGGUUUAGUGGGCGCAACAUCUGUGGUCAUAUGCCGGAGAGAGACAGAAGGGGAAGGAAUUAUAGGAGAAGGGAACAGUUGGAAAGUUUGGUUUAGUGGGCGCAACAUCUGUGGUCAUAUGCCGGAGAGGGACAGAAGGGGAAGGAAUUAUAGGAGAAGGGAACAGACCCCAGGAGACGGGACACAACCCCCGAUUAAUACCUGGUACACUGCUGGGUGGACAGGGGCGUAGGGUAUCGGAAAACCCGCCCAAAUUUUUCCACUCCGCCCGGGAAUCGAACCCGGGCUCUCUCGGUUGUGAGCCGAGUGUGCUAACCACUGCACCACGAAGCCCCCUGUGUUUUAGAAGGGGCGUGAUGGAUAAGUACAUGUUUUAGAAGGGGUAUAGGGCUUAAAGUACCUAUUUCCUUAUCUGCACAGGGAAAGACAGGCUACAUAUUACAUCAUAUCAGGAGCAAAAAGAUACAUGUUACUCAGAAAUGGUGACCUUCAGUACACCAAACACAAGCUCACUCUUCCCUUGUAGCUUGUUCUUGUUCCUCCUGUGAUGUUAAGCCUGUCUUUCCCAGUGCCAACUUGAAAAUAAGGCUUUGUCCCAUAACCCAGUAGCAGCGACGGGCCAAAUUUGUGGCUUUACCGUGUAGCAGCGAGGGGCCAAAUUUGUGGCUUUACCGUGUAGCAGCGAGGGGCCAAAUUUGUGGCUUUACCGUGUAGCAGCUAUGGGCCAAAUUUGUGGCUUUACCGUGUAGCAGCGACGGGCCAAAUUUGUGGCUUUACCGUGUAGCAGCGACGGGCCAAAUUUGUUGCUUUACCGUGUAGCAGCGACGGGCCAAAUUUGUGGCUUUACCGUGUAGCAGCGAGGGGCCAAAUUUGUGGCUUUACCGUGUAGCAGUGAUGGGCCAAAUUUGUGGCUU